CCUGGCGGCUUUCGCGCGGUGGUCCCACCUGACCCCAUGCCGAACUCAGAAGUGAAACGCCGUAGCGCCGAUGGUAGUGUCGGGUCUCCCCAUCUGAGAGUAGGGAACUGCCAGGC
rnacentral:rRNA from 1 species